GGCCCCAUAGGCUAAUGGUAGACCAUCUCGCUUACACCGAGCAGACCCAAGUUCGAUUCUUGGUGGGGCCA
rnacentral:tRNA from 1 species